rnacentral:rRNA from 1 species
UACAGAGGGGGCAAGCGUUGUUCGGAAUUACUGGGCGUAAAGAGCUCGUAGGCGGUUUGUCGCGUCUGCCGUGAAAGUCCGGGGCUCAACUCCGGAUCUGCGGUGGGUACGGGCAGACUAGAGUGAUGUAGGGGAGACUGGAAUUCCUGGUGUAGCGGUGAAAUGCGCAGAUAUCAGGAGGAACACCGAUGGCGAAGGCAGGUCUCUGGGCAUUAACUGACGCUGAGGAGCGAAAGCAUGGGGAGCAAACAGG